rnacentral:tRNA from 1 species
AGAAUAGUAUUUAAAUAUAUAAAAUCUAACCUGCUAUUAGGAAUUGCAAUAAGCCUAUUCU